rnacentral:hammerhead_ribozyme from 1 species
AUCCAGCUGUUGAGUCCCAUAUAGGAUGAAACGUGCAUCCUGGAU